AGUUGUAUCCUGGCUCAGGAUGAACGCUGGCGGUAUGCCUUACACAUGCAAGUCGUGCGAGAGUUUUUAACUCAAGUGGCGGACGGGUGAGUAACACGUAAGAAUUUGCCUUUAGGAGGGGGACAACAACUGGAAACGGUUGCUAAUACCCCAUAUGCUUUCGAGUGAAAUGGAUUUAUUUCCGCCUAGAGAGAAGCUUGCGGCUGAUUAGCUUGUUGGUGAGGUAAUGGCUCACCAAGGCGACGAUCAGUAUCUGGUUUGAGAGGACGAUCAGACACACUGGAACUGAGACACGGUCCAGACUCCUACGGGAGGCAGCAGUGGGGAAUUUUCCGCAAUGGGCGAAAGCCUGACGGAGCAAUACCGCGUGAGGGAUGACGGCCUAUGGGUUGUAAACCUCUUUUUUCAGGGAGGAAUCAAUGACGUGUACCUGAAGAAUAAGCAUCGGCUAACUCCGUGCCAGCAGCCGCGGUAAGACGGAGGAUGCAAGUGUUAUCCGGAAUCACUGGGCGUAAAGCGUCUGUAGGUGGUCCAAUAAGUCAACUGUUAAAUCUUGAGGCUCAACCUCAAAAUCGCAGUCGAAACUGUUAGACUAGAGUAUAGUAGGGGUAAAGGGAAUUUCCAGUGGAGCGGUGAAAUGCGUAGAGAUUGGAAGGAACACCGAUGGCGAAGGCACUUUACUGGGCUAUUACUAACACUCAGAGACGAA
rnacentral:rRNA from 1 species